GAUGAACGCUGGCGGCGUGCCUAAUACAUGCAAGUCGAGCGAACGGACGAGAAGCUUGCUUCUCUGAUGUUAGCGGCGGACGGGUGAGUAACACGUGGAUAACCUACCUAUAAGACUGGGAUAACUUCGGGAAACCGGAGCUAAUACCGGAUGAUAUUUUGAACCGCAUGGUUCAAAAGUGAAAGACGGUCUUGCUGUCACUUAUAGAUGGAUCCGCGCUGCAUUAGCUAGUUGGUAAGGUAACGACUUACCAAGGCAACGAUGCAUAGCCGACCUGAGAGGGUGAUCGGCCACACUGGAACUGAGACACGGUCCAGACUCCUACGGGAGGCAGCAGUAGGGAAUCUUCCGCAAUGGGCGAAAGCCUGACGGAGCAACGCCGCGUGAGUGAUGAAGGUCUUCGGAUCGUAAAACUCUGUUAUUAGGGAAGAACAUAUGUGUAAGUAACUGUGCACAUCUUGACGGUACCUAAUCAGAAAGCCACGGCUAACUACGUG
rnacentral:rRNA from 1 species